GGUGCUGCCACACUUGUGUGAAGCACUAUUUAUACCUGGCUUCCCCAGUGUGCAGUUGCCAGAUUCUCAAAAACCAUUAAUUCUGGACAACGACCUGUGCAAGUACCUGACUCAGCCUCUCUGCCUAGCCCUCUCUGUUGCCUCUUCAUCUCUGUGCUUGCGGAACAAGACCCUGGACCGGAAUCUGGAUGAAGACCUCCUGUUACUUUUGCCUGCCCCCAAAUCAUUGUAUGAUCUGUGAUGCUGACUGCAUGUUCCGCAACAUCGAGGCAAGGCUGCCUGGCUCAGUCCAUGACUCCAGAACCUGUCCCUCCCUGAAUCCCUUCUAAAACAGGCCUCCCUUUGUUCAAGUUAAGGGCCAGCUUUUCUGCUGGUGUGAAUUCCGGGGACGGUGCCCACACCCCCACCCCACACACGCCAGACACAUGAGCCUUUUUUAACACCUAAAAUAAGUAAAAGGUUCAAAUAUGUGUGCAAGCACAUUGUUAGUCAUUAGUACAAGUCAUUUGUAAAUUGUAGUCAACAUUUUAUCCAGAUAACACCAGUGUUUUUUGAC